rnacentral:rRNA from 1 species
AGGUUAACCGUAUAGGGGAGCCGUAGAGAAAUCGAGUCUUAAUAGGGCGUUUAGUUGCUGGGUAUAGACCCGAAACCAGGCGAUCUAUCCAUGAGCAGGUUGAAGGUUGGGUAACACUAACUGGAGGACCGAACCCACUGUCGUUGAAAAGCCAGGGGAUGACUUGUGGAUAGGGGUGAAAGGCUAAUCAAGCCUGGUGAUAGCUGGUUCUCCCCGAAAGCUAUUUAGGUAGCGCCUCGGACGAAUACCAUAGGGGGUAGAGCACUGUUUCGGCUAGGGGGUCAUCCCGACUUACCAAACCGAUGCAAACUCCGAAUACCUAUGAGUACUAUCCGGGAGACAGACUGCGGGUGCUAACGUCCGUAGUCAAGAGGAAAACAAUCCAGACCGCCAGCUAAGGCCCCAAAAUCAUAGUUAAGUGGGAAACGAUGUGGGAAGGCAUAGACAGCUAGGAGGUUGGCUUAGAAGCAGCCACCCUUUAAAGAAAGCGUAAUAGCUCACUAGUCGAGUCGGCCUGCGCGGAAGAUGUAACGGGGCUAAAACUAUGUGCCGAAGCUGCGGAUUUGACAUUAGUCAAGUGGUAGGGGAGCGUUCUGUAAGCCGAUGAAGGUGUAUUGAGAAGUAUGCUGGAGGUAUCAGAAGUGCGAAUGCUGACGUGAGUAACGACAAAACGGGUGAAAAACCCGUUCGCCGAAAGACCAAGGGUUCCAGUCCAACGUUAAUCGGGGCUGGGUGAGUCGACCCCUAAGGCGAGGCCGAAAGGCGUAGUCGAUGGGAAAAUGGUUAAUAUUCCAUUACUUCUGUGUAAUGCGAUGAGAGGACGGAGAAGGCUAAAUCAGCCUGGCGUUGGUUGUCCAGGUGAAAGGAUGUAGGCAUGUAUCUUAGGCAAAUCCGGGGUACUCUAUGCUGAGAUCUGAUAGCAAGCUGUACUUGUACAGCGAAGUGGUUGAUGCCAUGCUUCCAGGAAAAGUCUCUAAGCUUCAGUUACACAGGAAUCGUACCCGAAACCGACACAGGUGGUCAGGUCGAGUAGACCAAGGCGCUUGAGAGAACUCUGCUGAAGGAACUAGGCAAAAUGGUACCGUAACUUCGGGAGAAGGUACGCUGUUGUUGGUGAUGGAACUCGCUUCCUGAGCUGACGACAGCCGCAGAAACCAGGCCGCUGCAACUGUUUAUUAAAAACAUAGCACUCUGCAAACACGAAAGUGGACGUAUAGGGUGUGAUGCCUGCCCGGUGCUGGAAGGUUAAUUGAUGGGGUUAGCGUAAGCGAAGCUCUUGAUCGAAGCCCCAGUAAACGGCGGCCGUAACUAUAACGGUCCUAAGGUAGCGAAAUUCCUUGUCGGGUAAGUUCCGACCUGCACGAAUGGCAUAAUGAUGGCGGCGCUGUCUCCAGCAGAGGCUCAGUGAAAUCGAAAUCGCUGUGAAGAUGCAGUGUACCCGCGGCUAGACGGAAAGACCCCGUGAACCUUUACUGCAGCUUGACACUGAACUUUGACCUUACUUGUGUAGGAUAGGUGGGAGGCUUUGAAGCUGGAACGCUAGUUCCAGUGGAGCCGUCCUUGAAAUACCACCCUGGUAAUGUUGAGGUUCUAACUCUGUCCCGUGAUCCGGGACGAGGACCGUGUCUGGUGGGUAGUUUGACUGGGGCGGUCUCCUCCUAAAGAGUAACGGAGGAGUACGAAGGUGCGCUCAGCGUGGUCGGAAAUCACGCGUAGAGUAUAAAGGCAAAAGCGCGCUUAACUGCGAGACCCACAAGUCGAGCAGGUACGAAAGUAGGUCUUAGUGAUCCGGUGGUUCUGUAUGGAAGGGCCAUCGCUCAACGGAUAAAAGGUACUCUGGGGAUAACAGGCUGAUACCGCCCAAGAGUUCAUAUCGACGGCGGUGUUUGGCACCUCGAUGUCGGCUCAUCUCAUCCUGGGGCUGAAGCAGGUCCCAAGGGUAUGGCUGUUCGCCAUUUAAAGAGGUACGCGAGCUGGGUUUAGAACGUCGUGAGACAGUUCGGUCCCUAUCUACCGUGGGCGCUGGAAAUUUGAGAGGAUCUGCUCCUAGUACGAGAGGACCAGAGUGGACGAACCUCUGGUGUACCGGUUGUGACGCCAGUCGCAUCGCCGGGUAGCUAUGUUCGGAAGGGAUAACCGCUGAAAGCAUCUAAGCGGGAAGCCUACCUCAAGAUAAGAUUUCCCUAGGACUUUAUGUCCUCUAAAGAGCCGUUCGAGACUAGGACGUUGAUAGGUUGGAUGUGGAAGCAUAGUGAUAUGUGAAGCUGACCAAUACUAAUUGCUCGUGAGGCUUGACUAUACAACACCCAAGCAGUUG